AUCUAUGGCCAUGCCACCCUGAACAUAUCUGAUCUUGAAAGCUAAGCAAGAUUGGGCCUGAUUAGUACUUCGAUGGGAGACCACUUAGGAAGACCAGGUGCUGUAGGUG
rnacentral:rRNA from 1 species